AGGAGGUAAAAAUGCUCA
rnacentral:misc_RNA from 2 species